UAUUGGACAAUGGGCGCGAGCCUGAUCCAGCCAUGCCGCGUGGAUGAUGAAGGCCUUAGGGUUGUAAAGUCCUUUUAACGGGGAAGAUAAUGACGGUACCCGUAGAAUAAGCCCCGGCUAACUUCGUGCCAGCAGCCGCGGUAAUACGAAGGGGGCUAGCGUUGCUCGGAAUUACUGGGCGUAAAGCGCACGUAGGCGGGUUCUUAAGUCGGUGGUGAAAUCCUGGAGCUCAACUCCAGAACUGCCUUCGAUACUGGGAAUCUUGAGUCCGGGAGAGGUGAGUGGAACUGCGAGUGUAGAGGUGAAAUUCGUAGAUAUUCGCAAGAACACCAGUGGCGAAGGCGGCUCACGGCCCGGUACUGACGCUGAGGUGCGAAA
rnacentral:rRNA from 1 species